rnacentral:rRNA from 1 species
GACGAACGCUGGCGGCGUGCCUAAUACAUGCAAGUCGAGCGAGACUCUUUGGAGUCUAGCGGCGGACGGGUGAGUAACACGUGGGCAACCUGCCUGUAAGACUGGGAUAACACCGGGAAACCGGUGCUAAUACCGGAUAAUCCUUUUCUUCUCAUGAGGAAAAGCUGAAAGUCGGUUUCGGCUGACACUUACAGAUGGGCCCGCGGCGCAUUAGCUAGUUGGUGAGGUAACGGCUCACCAAGGCGACGAUGCGUAGCCGACCUGAGAGGGUGGUCGGCCACACUGGGACUAAGACACGGCCCAGACUCCUACGGGAGGCAGCAGUAGGGAAUCUUCCACAAUGGACGAAAGUCUGAUGGAGCAACUCCGCGUGAGCGAUGAAGGCCUUCGGGUCGUAAAGCUCUGUUGUUAGGGAAGAACAAGUGCCGGAGUAACUGCCGGUACCUUGACGGUACCUAACCAGAAAGCCACGGCUAACUACGUGCCAGCCGCCGCCGUAACAC